rnacentral:rRNA from 1 species
UAGUCCACGCCGUAAACGAUGGAUACUAGGUGCUCGAAUGUUUAACCGUUUGAGUACCACAGUUAACACAUUAAGUAUCCCGCCUGGGGAGUACGGUCGCAAGGCUAAAACUCAAAGGAAUUGACGGGGGCCCGCACAAGCGGUGGAGUAUGUGGUUUAAUUCGAAGCAACGCGCAGAACCUUACCUAGGCUUAACAUUUGUCGACAACCCUAGAGAUAGGGCUUUCCCUUCGGGGACGGCAGGAUAGGUGCUGCAUGGCUGUCGUCAGCUCGUGUUGUGAAAUGUUCGGUUAAGUCCGGCAACGAGCGCAACCCCUGUCCUUAGUUACCAUCAUUUAGUUGGGGACUCAUGCGAGACUGCCGGUGUUAAGCCGGAGGAAGGUGGGGACACGUCAAGUCAUCAUGGCCCUUACGUGUAGGGCUACAAACGUGCUACAAUGGGAGUGACAGUGGGCAGCAACGUCGCGAGGCGAAGCUAAUCCCUAAAAAGCUCUCUCAGUUCGGAUAGGACUCUGCAACUCGAGU